rfam:Nicotiana attenuata strain TT chromosome 6, whole genome shotgun sequence.
UGGACAGAUUAUUGUAUUCGACUGUAUUCACGGCAUGAAACAGGGGAUUACACUGUCUUUAAACGGAAAGUGAAUCAAUUAACAUAAUAUACUCCU